rnacentral:rRNA from 1 species
GUAGGUGGCAAGCGUUGUCCGGAAUUAUUGGGCGUAAAGCGCGCGCAGGCGGUUCUUUAAGUCUGAUGUGAAAGCCCACGGCUCAACCGUGGAGGGUCAUUGGAGACUGGAGAACUUGAGUACAGAAGAGGAAAGCGGAAUUCCACGUGUAGCGGUGAAAUGCGUAGAGAUGUGGAGGAACACCAGUGGCGAAGGCGGCUUUCUGGUCUGUAACUGACGCUGAGGCGCGAAAGCGUGGGGGAGCAAACAGGAUUAGAUACCCUGGUAGUCCACGCCGUAAACGAUGAGUGCUAAGUGUUAGGGGGUUUCCGCCCCUUAGUGCUGCAGCUAACGCAUUAAGCACUCCGCCCUGGGAGUACGGCCGCAAGGCUG